AUUAGCUCAGUUGGUUAGAGCAUGGUGCUAAUAAUGCCACGGCCAUGGGUUUGAUCCCUGUAU
rnacentral:tRNA from 1 species